rnacentral:rRNA from 1 species
ACUCCUGCGGGAGGCAGCAGUGGGGAAUUUUGGACAAUGGGCGAAAGCCUGAUCCAGCAAUGCCGCGUGAGUGAAGAAGGCCUUCGGGUUGUAAAGCUCUUUUGUCAGGGAAGAAACGGUGAAAGCUAAUAUCUUUUGCUAAUGACGGUACCUGAAGAAUAAGCACCGGCUAACUACGUGCCAGCAGCCGCGGUAAUACGUAGGGUGCAAGCGUUAAUCGGAAUUACUGGGCGUAAAGCGUGCGCAGGCGGUUUUGUAAGUCUGAUGUGAAAUCCCCGGGCUCAACCUGGGAAUUGCAUUGGAGACUGCAAGGCUAGAAUCUGGCAGAGGGGGGUAGAAUUCCACGUGUAGCAGUGAAAUGCGUAGAUAUGUGGAGGAACACCGAUGGCGAAGGCAGCCCCCUGGGUCAAGAUUGACGCUCAUGCACGAAAGCGAGGGGAGCAAACAGGAUUAGAAACCCUUGUAGUCCCA